rnacentral:rRNA from 1 species
GACAGAGGGGGCGAGCGUUGCUCGGAAUUACUGGGCGUAAAGGGCGCGUAGGCGGGAUGGCAGGUCGGUCGUGAAAUCCCUCGGCUCAACUGAGGAUCGUCGAUCGAUACUGCCGUUCUUGAGGAUUGCAGAGGAGACUGGGAUUCCCGGUGUAGCGGUGAAAUGUGUAGAGAUCGGGAGGAACACCGGUGGCGAAGGCGGGUCUCUGGGCCGAAACUGACGCUGAGGAGCGAAAGCGUGGGUAGCAAACAGG